rnacentral:rRNA from 1 species
UACGGGGGGAGCAAGCGUUGUUCGGAUUUAUUGGGCGUAAAGGGCGCGUAGGCGGCCCCGCAAGUCGACUGUGAAAUCUCCGGGCUUAACCCGGAAAGGUCAGCCGAUACUGCGGGGCUAGAGUGCAGAAGGGGCAACUGGAAUUCUCGGUGUAGCGGUGAAAUGCGUAGAUAUCGAGAGGAACACCUGCGGCGAAGGCGGGUUGCUGGGCUGACACUGACGCUGAUGCGCGAAAGCUAGGGGAGCGAACGGG